ACGGUUUUGAAUAGUCAACUUGACGGUCACACGGAGACCCUUCCAAUCUUUGGUAGCCUUGGCAAUAUCUUCACCAACCUUCUUGGGGGACAAACCCAAGGGACCAAUCUUGGGAGCAAGGGUGGAGCCACCGGCGACUUCACCACCGACGGCUCUCAUAAAGAUGGUCUUUACUUCAUUGGGAUCGAACUAAAAGGAUUGUUAGCAAAUGAGUAUUCAUAAGAAUGUGAAUGAAGUAAAUUGAAUAAAAAAAAAUAAACGAAUUCACUAGGAAAACUACUUACUUUGGGAGGCAUCUUACUCUUGCUUGGUUCAAGAAAAAUACGCAAAGUGUUAGUUUUGUUUUUGUUUUAUGUGACUGUCCGAAAUGAGUGUGACUGUUCCUGAGGGCACCCACAACAAAACUUCUUUAAUGAAGCGAUCACUGGAAUCUGUACAAGUAUCCGAAUUUUGUUAGGUGACAUUAUCAGUCAGGAAAAAAUAAAUAAAUGCAUCGCUGUAUACGCAUCAAUGUAUGUAUAUAAAUAUGUUAUUAAGCAAAAGAAACUAUCAUAAAUGAUUAUAUAGUAUAUUUUUAUUUGAGAAGUAAAAAAUCUCGGUUGGCAGUGGUCUGGAUGAGUAUUGAAGGCAUUACCACUUUUGGAAGCUUGAUCCGCCCAUCCUUAGGCUGCUUAAAACGAAAUCUGCCUGUCGUGGAAAGAAAAAGGUGCAUUGGGAUGUAAAAAUUGUAUGGCCUGUACCGUUAUUUGCAUAAAACCGCUACUGUAUCGCAAAUUCCCCAUUUACUAUUUGCGAACCAAGCAUCAGGGGGAUGCUUGGCUCGUUUUCUUGUAAAAAGACAACUAAUUACAUUUAACGUAUUCUGUCAUGCCAUAACAUAGUAAAUAUGCAUCAAAUGUACUGUUAUUAUACAAAAACUUGUCACUGUAUUUUUUUUUAACAUUAUGCUUGCAAACAUUCGGCAAAAGGAAAAUGAAAGCACCAGUGAAACGUUGCAACCAUUGCUUUAUUAUACAGGUAAAAUAAGAUAUAAAGGAUCUUAUCACAUUGGGAAAAAUUGAAUUGUUUCCAAGAGGGCUAAGCUUUUUGAUCCUUCCAACGACUGAGAAAUAAUGAAAGAAAACGAAAUUACGCCAAGCAUAAUCGUGAGCGUAGACACUGAUAAUUAAGAAUUGUAAAUUAAAAAUACAGCAAACCAAU